CCUAGUAACGGCGAGUGAAGCGGCAACAGCUCAAAUUUGAAAUCUGGCGUCUUCGGCGUCCGAGUUGUAAUUUGCAGAGGGCGCUUUGGCAUUGGCAGCGGUCCAAGUUCCUUGGAACAGGACGUCACAGAGGGUGAGAAUCCCGUACGUGGUCGCUAGCCUUUACCGUGUAAAGCCCCUUCGACGAGUCGAGUUGUUUGGGAAUGCAGCUCUAAAUGGGAGGUAAAUUUCUUCUAAAGCUAAAUACUGGCCAGAGACCGAUAGCGCACAAGUAGAGUGAUCGAAAGAUGAAAAGCACUUUGGAAAGAGAGUUAAAAAGCACGUGAAAUUGUUGAAAGGGAAGCGCUUGCAGCCAGACUUGCCUGUAGUUGCUCAUCCGGGUUUCUACCCGGUGCACUCUUCUAUAGGCAGGCCAGCAUCAGUUUGGGCGGUUGGAUAAAGGUCUCUGUCAUGUACCUCCUUUCGGGGAGAACUUAUAGGGGAGACGACAUGCAACCAGCCCGGACUGAGGUCCGCGCAUCUGCUAGGAUGCUGGCGUAAUGGCUGUAAGCGGCCCGUCUUGAAACACGGACCAAGGAGUCUAACAUCUAUGCGAGUGUUUGGGUGUCAAGCCCGAACGCGUAAUGAAAGUGAACGGAGGUGGGAACCUUUCGGGGUGCACCAUCGACCGAUCCUGAUGUCUUCGGAUGGAUUUGAGUAAGAGCAUAGCUGUUGGGACCCGAAAGAUGGUGAACUAUGCUUGAAUAGGGUGAAGCCAGAGGAAACUCUGGUGGAGGCUCGCAGCGGUUCUGACGUGCAAAUCGAUCGUCAAAUUUGG
rnacentral:rRNA from 1 species